AUGGCUCAGAACGAACGCUGGCAGCGUGGAUUAGGCAUGCAAGUCGCACGGGGGCGGGCCGGAUAGCAAUGUUGGCCGCCCCAGUGGCGGAAGGGCGAGUAACGCCUGAACAACCUGCCCCCUUGCUGGGGAUACCUCGGGGGAAACCCGAGUUAAUACCGAAUGUGGCCGGGAGCGGCAUCGCUCCGAAGCCAAAGGCGGGACCGCAAGGCCUGCCGCGAGGGGAGGGGUUCAGGUGCCAUCAGCUGGUUGGCGGGGUGACGGCCCACCAAGGCGACGACGGCUAGCUGGUCUGAGAGGACGACCAGCCGCACUGGGACUGAGAACUGCCCAGACUCCUACGGGAGGCUGCAGUCGAGGAUCAUUCGCAAUGGGCGCAAGCCUGACGAUGCGACGCUGCGUGGAAGGAUGGAGGCCCUCGGGUCGUAAACUCCUGUCAUGCGGGAAAAAGCUCCCGGUUCCGAACAGGCUCCGGGGCGGAUGGUACCGCAAGAGGAAGGGGCGGCUAACUCUGUGCCAGCCGCAGC
rnacentral:rRNA from 1 species